GAUGAAGAACGCAGCGAAAUGCGAUAAGUAAUGCGAAUUGCAGAAUUCAGUGAGUCAUCGAAUCUUUGAACGCACAUUGCGCCCUGUGGUAUUCCGCAGGGCAUGCCUGUUCGAGCGUCAUUUCAACCCUCAAGCCCCGCUUGGUGUUGGGCCCCGCCCGCUGUGGCCGGCCCUAAAGACAGUGGCGGCGCCGCCUGGCCCUCAGCGGAGUACAUCUCUCGCUCCAGGGUCCGGUGGCCGCCUGCCAGAACCCCCCAACUCUGUGGUUGACCUCGGAUCAGGUAGGGAUACCCGCUGAACUUAAGCAUAUCAAUAAGCGGAGGA
rnacentral:misc_RNA from 1 species